rnacentral:rRNA from 1 species
AGUGAACGCUGGCGGUAGGCCUAACACAUGCAAGUCGAACGGCAGCACAGUAAGAGCUUGCUCUUACGGGUGGCGAGUGGCGGACGUGUGAGGAAUACAUCGGAAUCUACUUUUUCGUGUGGCAUAACGUAGGGAAACUUACGCUAAUACCGCAUACGACCUACGGGUGAAAGCAGGGGAUCUUCGGACCUUGCGCGAUUGAAUGCGCCGAUGUCGGAUUAGCUAGUGGGCGGGGGACAGGCCCACCAAGGCGACGAUCGGUAGCCGGUCUGAGAGGCUGGUCAGCCACCGUGGAACGGAGACACGGUCCCGACUCCUACGGGAGGCAUCAGUCUGCAAUAUUAGCCAAUAGGCGCAAGCCUGGUCCAGCCCUCCCGCGUGGGUGGAGAAGGCCUUCCGGUUGUAAAGCCCGUUUGUUGGGUGUGAAAAGCAGCCGGUUGAUACGCAGCUUUUCUGACGGUACCCAGAAAAUAAGCACCGGCUAACUUCGUG